GACGAACGCUGGCGGCGUGCUUAACACAUGCAAGUCGAACGGAAAGGCCCUGCUUUUGUGGGGUGCUCGAGUGGCGAACGGGUGAGUAACACGUGAGUAACCUGCCCUUGACUUUGGGAUAACUUCAGGAAACUGGGGCUAAUACCGGAUAGGGGCUCCUGCUGCAUGGUGGGGGUUGGAAAGUUUCGGCGGUUGGGGAUGGACUCGCGGCUUAUCAGCUUGUUGGUGGGGUAGUGGCUUACCAAGGCUUUGACGGGUAGCCGGCCUGAGAGGGUGAACGGGCACAUUGGGCCUAAGGUACGGCCCAGACUCCUACGGGAGGCAGCAGUGGGGAAUAUUGCACAAUGGGCGGAAGCCUGAUGCAGCAACGCCGCGUGCGGGAUGACGGCCUUCGGGUUGUAAACCGCUUUCGCCUGUGACGAAGCGUGAGUGACGGUAAUGGGUAAAGAAGCACCGGCUAACUACGUG
rnacentral:rRNA from 1 species